rnacentral:rRNA from 1 species
GAUGAACGCUGGCGGCGUGCCUAAUACAUGCAAGUCGAGCGAACGGACGAGAAGCUUGCUUCUCUGAUGUUAGCGGCGGACGGGGGAGUAACACGUGGAUAACCUACCUAUUAGACUGGGAUAACUUCGGGAAACCGGAGCUAAUACCGGAUAAUAUUUUGAACCGCAUGGUUCAAAAGUGAAAGACGGUCUUGCUGUCACUUAUAGAUGGAUCCGCGCUGCAUUAGCUAGUUGGUAAGGUAACGGCUUACCAAGGCAACGAUGCAUAGCCGACCUGAGAGGGGGACCGCCCCCACUGGAACUGAGACCCGGUCCAGACUCCUACGGGAGGCAGCGGUAGGGAACCUUCCGCAUUGGCCGAAAGCCUAACGGGGCACCCCCCGUGGGGUGAGGCAGGUCUCCGGUUCGUAAACCCCUGUUAUCGGGGAAGAACAUAUUUGUAAGAAACUGGGCACAUCUUGACGGUACCGAAUCAGAAAGCCACGGCUAACUACGUG